GGUGAUCUACCCAUGUCCAGGAUGAAGGUAAGGUAAUACUUACUGGAGGUCCGAACCCACGCACGUUGAAAAGUGCGGGGAUGAGGUGUGGGUAGCGGAGAAAUUCCAAUCGAACUUGGAGAUAGCUGGUUCUCUCCGAAAUAGCUUUAGGGCUAGCCUCGAGGUAAAGAGUCAUGGAGGUAGAGCACUGUUUGGACUAGGGGCCCUUCUCGGGUUACCGAAUUCAGAUAAACUCCGAAUGCCAUGUACUUAUACUCGGGAGUCAGACUGCGAGUGAUAAGAUCCGUAGUCGAAAGGGAAACAGCCCAGACCACCAGUUAAGGUCCCCAAAUAUAUGUUAAGUGGAAAAGGAUGUGGGGUUGCUUAGACAACCAGGAUGUUGGCUUAGAAGCAGCCACCAUUGAAAGAGUGCGUAAUAGCUCACUGGUCGAGUGACCCCGCGCCGAAAAUGUACCGGGGCUAAACAUAUUACCGAAACUGUGGAUGAACCUCUUUAGAGGUUCGUGGUAGGAGAGCGUUCUAAGGGCGGUGAAGUCAGACCGGAAGGACUGGUGGAGCGCUUAGAAGUGAGAAUGCCGGUAUGAGUAGCGAAAGAAGGGUGAGAAUCCCUUCCACCGAAUAUCUAAGGUUUCCUGAGGAAGGCUCGUCCGCUCAGGGUUAGUCGGGACCUAAGCCGAGGCCGAUAGGCGUAGGCGAUGGACAACAGGUAGAGAUUCCUGUACCAGUGCUAAUUGUUUAACCGAUGGGGUGACACAGAAGGAUAGGGAAUCGCACGAAUGGAAAUGUGCGUCCAAGCAGUGAGUGUGAGAAGUAGGCAAAUCCGCUUCUCGCGAAGCAUGAGCUGUGAUGGGGAAGGAAAUUAAGUACGGAAGUUCCUGAUUUCACGCUGUCAAGAAAAGCCUCUAGGAAGAGUAGUACUGCCCGUACCGCAAACCGACACAGGUAGAUGAGGAGAGAAUCCUAAGGUGAGCGAGAGAACUCUCGUUAAGGAACUCGGCAAAAUGACCCCGUAACUUCGGGAGAAGGGGUGCUCUAUUAGGGUGCAAGCCCGAGAGAGCCGCAGUGAAUAGGCCCAGGCGACUGUUUAGCAAAAACACAGGUCUCUGCAAAACCGUAAGGUGACGUAUAGGGGCUGACGCCUGCCCGGUGCUGGAAGGUUAAGAGGAGUGCUUAGCUUCGGCGAAGGUACGAAUUGAAGCCCCAGUAAACGGCGGCCGUAACUAUAACGGUCCUAAGGUAGCGAAAUUCCUUGUCGGGUAAGUUCCGACCCGCACGAAAGGCGCAACGAUCUGGGCACUGUCUCAACGAGAGACUCGGUGAAAUUAUAGUACCUGUGAAGAUGCAGGUUACCCGCGACAGGACGGAAAGACCCCGUGGAGCUUUACUGCAACCUGAUAUGGAAUGUUUGUACCGCUUGUACAGGAUAGGUAGGAGCCGAAGAGACGUGUGCGCUAGCAUACGAGGAGGCAAUGGUGGGAUACUACCCUGGCUGUAUGACCAUUCUAACCCGCCACGCUUAGCGCGUGGGGAGACAGUGUCAGGUGGGCAGUUUGACUGGGGCGGUCGCCUCCUAAAGAGUAACGGAGGCGCCCAAAGGUUCCCUCAGAAUGGAUGGAAAUCAUUCGCAGAGUGUAAAGGCACAAGGGAGCUUGACUGCGAGACUGACAAGUCGAGCAGGGACGAAAGUCGGGCUUAGUGAUCCGGUGGUUCCGCAUGGAAGGGCCAUCGCUCAACGGAUAAAAGCUACCCCGGGGAUAACAGGCUUAUCUCCCCCAAGAGUCCACAUCGACGGGGAGGUUUGGCACCUCGAUGUCGGCUCGUCGCAUCCUGGGGCUGUAGUCGGUCCCAAGGGUUGGGCUGUUCGCCCAUUAAAGCGGCACGCGAGCUGGGUUCAGAACGUCGUGAGACAGUUCGGUCCCUAUCCGUCGCGGGCGCAGGAAAUUUGAGAGGAGCUGUCCUUAGUACGAGAGGACCGGGAUGGACACACCGCUGGUGUACCAGUUGUUCCGCCAGGAGCAUCGCUGGGUAGCUAUGUGUGGCAGGGAUAAACGCUGAAAGCAUCUAAGCGUGAAGCCCCCCUCAAGAUGAGAUUUCCCAUUUCUUCGGAAAGUAAGAUCCCUGAAAGAUGAUCAGGUAGAUAGGUUUGGAGUGGAAGUGUAGCGAUACAUGGAGCGGACAAAUACUAAUCGAUCGAGGACUUAACCAA
rnacentral:rRNA from 1 species